UGCAAGUCGUACGAGAGUUUUUAACUCAAGUGGCGGACGGGUGAGUAACACGUGAGAAUCUGCCUUUAGGAGGGGGAUAACAACUGGAAACGGUUGCUAAUACCCCAUAUGCUUUCGAGUGAAAUGGAUUUAUCCGCCUAGAGAGGAGCUCGCGGCUGAUUAGCUUGUUGGUAGGGUAAUGGCCUACCAAGGCGACGAUCAGUAUCUGGUUUGAGAGGACGAUCAGACACACUGGAACUGAGACACGGUCCAGACUCCUACGGGAGGCAGCAGUGGGGAAUUUUCCGCAAUGGGCGAAAGCCUGACGGAGCAAUACCGCGUGAGGGAAGACGGCCUAUGGGUUGUAAACCUCUUUUCUCAGGGAGGAACUCAAUGACGUGUACCUGAGGAAUAAGCAUCGGCUAACUCCGUGCCAGCAGCCGCGGUAAGACGGAGGAUGCAAGUGUUAUCCGGAAUCACUGGGCGUAAAGCGUCUGUAGGUGGUUUAAUAAGUCAACUGUUAAAUCUUGAGGCUCAACUUCAAAAUCGCAGUCGAAACUAUUAAACUAGAGUAUAGUAGGGGUAAAGGGAAUUUCCAGUGGGGCGGUGAAAUGCGUAGAUG
rnacentral:rRNA from 1 species